rnacentral:rRNA from 1 species
UACGGAGGGUGCGAGCGUUGUCCGGAAUCACUGGGCGUAAAGAGCUCGUAGGCGGUUUGUCGCGUCUGCCGUGAAAGUCCGGGGCUCAACUCCGGAUCUGCGGUGGGUACGGGCAGACUAGAGUGAUGUAGGGGAGACUGGAAUUCCUGGUGUAGCGGUGAAAUGCGCAGAUAUCAGGAGGAACACCGGUGGCGAAGGCGGGUCUCGUGGGCCGAUGACUGACGCUGGAGGAGCGAAAAGCGUGGGGAGCGAACAGG